CAGCCGACAGCUGGCGGCGUGCCUAAUACAUGCAGUCGAGCGGACGGAUGGGAGCUUGUCUCCCUGAAGUCAGCGGCGGACGGGUGAGUAACACGUGGGCAACCUGCCUGUAAGACUGGGAUAACUCCGGGAAACCGGGGCUAAUACCGGAUAACUCUUUUCCUCACAUGAGGAAAAGCUGAAAGAUGGUUUCGGCUAUCACUUACAGAUGGGCCCGCGGCGCAUUAGCUAGUUGGUGAGGUAACGGCUCACCAAGGCCACGAUGCGUAGCCGACCUGAGAGGGUGAUCGGCCACACUGGGACUGAGACACGGCCCAGACUCCUACGGGAGGCAGCAGUAGGGAAUCUUCCGCAAUGGACGAAAGUCUGACGGAGCAACGCCGCGUGAGUGAUGAAGGUUUUCGGAUCGUAAAACUCUGUUGUCAGGGAAGAACAAGUACCGGAGUAACUGCCGGUACCUUGACGGUACCUGACCAGAAAGCCACGGCUAACUACGUGCCAGCAGCCGGUUAAAUAUA
rnacentral:rRNA from 2 species